GACCUGAUUAGAGAGCUGUACUCUCCAGAAGUAGCUGCUCAAAUUUUAGCUAUCUCAAGCUGUGGAGUUACUGAUAAGCUGCUAUGGCCUCAUACAACACAACAUACUUUGUUUUGUAGGUAUGCACAAGCCUCUGAUGCACAACAUGUUGAUUAGAGUAACUACUGGAGAGUUCCAAGGGUAGUGUGUCCAGUUGUGGAGGGAUGGCAAGUGUUGCUGACAGUUGAGGGGCACUGGCAGAGCAGAUGCAAAUGGGGUUGUUUUGCCUAUGUAGCUAAAUCAUGGGCUGGCAGAUAAUUUCUCAGCCUGUUCCAGUAAUGCCGUAUGCAAAAAAGUGAAAGCUUACUGUUUGAGAAGCAUAUUUUCCAGGCUUGUUCUGGUUAGUGGAAGAUUGGAGGACCUGUGGAAAAGAAGAAGGUUCCUUGGCAACUUGGUGCGUUGAUUGAAGAACACAAGUGCAAGAAAGUUGGAGAAUGCCAGUGGUGUACAUUUGCUGUGUACAGGAGUCACUAAUGAGGUCUGCACAAGUCUCUAAUGCACAACAAGCAGAUCAAAGUAACUGCAGGAAAGUACCAAGGCAGGUGUAUCAAGUUGUGGAGGGUUGUAGGUGUUGCUGACAAUUUAGGGACGCUAGCAGAGAUAGUGUGAACGGGGUGGUUUUGGCUUUGUAGCCAAAUUGGUGGGUGCUGGCAGGCUGUUGCAGUUCUUCCAUAUGCAACCAAAUGGCAUGCAGCUAGAUGCCCCUGUUCGGAAAGCAUUAACUAAGGCUAUACAGCUUGGUUUUUGUAGACUUGUUUCCAUCAUUUCUAAGAGUGGAGGAACUCCUUUUGAGAAGAAGGUUUCCUUGGCAACUUGCUGUGCUGAUUGAAGGCCACAAGUGCAUAGAAGUAGGAGAACUUUAGUGGUUGUAUAUUUUGUGCAUAAGAGAGUUGCUACAGAUGUUGGGGUCUUGCUGUUGCUUCAAAGUCUUUUGAACAUUUUUGGACUCUACUACCAGCCAACGCUUCAUACA